CUGGGAGUCAGAAGAAAAGCUCAGUUUUAGUAUUCAGUUCUGUAACAUCACUGCAUGAUUGCUGUACAAUGGUGCCUGCAAUGCCCCUCCCUGACAGCGCUGGGGCUCCAUGUGUAGAGUUGCUUCCUUCCUUUCCUUUCCCUUCCCUCCCACCUCUCUGCUUCUUGCCGAUGGGCUGCUGAGUACAUGCCAGGGUCUCUGUCAGCCCAAGGACCUUGCACCUCCAGCAUCCCCUCCAUUAAUAAAGAGAGGGACCCAAAAGUACAUAUCCCUCAUCUCCCACGUCUCCUCCCCCUCUCAAUUAUCUCCCUUUGUUUUUUAGCCAGAAAUGUUAAAGAAAGCAGAGCAGAAGAGAUGCUGAGUGAUAGCCACACAGGCACAGUCCUAGAGCGAUAAAGGGGUUAGACAAGUUGCAUUCAUCCCUCGCAUCCUACAGCUUCACUCUCUGCUGCUCUCGGUCCUUUCUAAUUUCCUGCUCUCUCUCACUCCCCCUUUUCCCUUCCUGCCUAUUUCUUUCUUCCUUGGCUUUGCAGCUUCAGCCUCCCUCACAUUUGGGGCGUUUCUUUUCUUCUUUUCCAAAUGCCUCUUCUCCUUUCGCAGAUCUCUUCCAAAUAGCCAUCCUCUACAGACCUUAACAUCGACUCUCCUUGUUCUUAUUACACCGAGCUGCUCUCCUUUGCUGUGUGUUGCUCAUGCCGCAUCUCUCUAUUUUAUAGAGCAUUUAUAACACCAUGCACAUAAUGCAUAACUGAGCAUUUCAGCAUGGAAGCAAUUGCCUCUAAUGCUGAAGUAAAUCUGCAAUUGACAGUUCUAAAAUGCUUAUAACUGCAGGACUGUCUUUCAUAGACUCACAGAUUUUAAGGCCAGAUGGGACCAUUAGAUCAUCUAGUCUGAGCUCAUCUGAAAACCUGCUCUGGUUCUUCCCUAAUAAUGGGUGUCCAUGCGAUGCCAUCAGGACCUACCAGCACAGCAUCCCAGGAUCCGUAUUUCAGUUGUCACUAUGCGCAGUGCAGCCAGCGUAUCAGCUGCAUGAAGCAUCCUCCCCACCUCCGAGGCACCCAGCAACUCUCACCUUCCUCAGGCAGCCCUACUGCACAAAGGAAGCAGGCAGAAAAAGCAAAGGAAACAUUGCACAAAACAGAACAGCCACGCUUCCUGAUGGAUGUCUGGAAGUAUUCUGGAUGCUGCGUUGACAAAGGGAAAUGAGGAUUGAACCUAAAGACAAAGAGGAGCAAAGGGACUGAAACAUCUGAAACAAC
rnacentral:lncRNA from 1 species